rnacentral:rRNA from 1 species
ACGCACGCUGGCGGCGUGCUUAACACAUGCAAGUCGAACGAUGACGACCGAGCUUGCUCGGCCUGAUUAGUGGCGAACGGGUGAGUAACACGUGAGCAACCUGCCCUUCACUCUGGGAUAACCUCGGGAAAUCGGGGCCAAUACCGGAUAUGAGCUCCUGUCGCAUGGCGGGUGUUGGAAAGUUUUUCGGUGAAGGAUGGGCUCGCGGCCUAUCAGUUUGUUGGUGAGGUAGUGGCUCACCAAGGCGAUGACGGGUAGCCGGCCUGAGAGGGCGACCGGCCACACUGGGACUGAGACACGGCCCAGACUCCUACGGGAGGCAGCAGUGGGGAAUAUUGCACAAUGGGCGAAAGCCUGAUGCAGCGACGCCGCGUGAGGGAUGACGGCCUUCGGGUUGUAAACCUCUUUCAGCAGGGAAGAAGCGAAAGUGACGGUACCUGCAGAAGAAGCGCCGGCUAACUACGU